UACGUAGGCAGCAAGCGUUGUUCGGAAUUACUGGGCGUAAAGAGUGUGUAGGCGGUGCUCCAAGUCUGGUGUGAAAUCUCCCGGCUUAACUGGGAGGGUGCAUUAGAAACUGGAAUGCUAGAGGAUGGGAGAGGUAAGCGGAAUUCCUGGUGUAGCGGUGAAAUGCGUAGAUAUCAGGAGGAACACCUGUGGUGUAGACAGCUUACUGGACCAUUUCUGACGCUGAGGUGCGAAAGCGUGGGGAGCAAACAGG
rnacentral:rRNA from 1 species